CAUUCAGAUAGCAAAUAGCGGAGUGUAACGACACAAAGUUGAUUUCUUCGUGUGGUUUGGCUGAAUUGUGUUACUCAUCUGUUUAAAAUUAUCUAUGGAUUUAUAAUACUAUAAAGGAAAAUGAGAAUAGAAACGAUGCUUGUUCAUUAUUUCGUAUUUGCUGCCAUCUUCUCUGCAUGUAAUGCUGUCUUUCCGGACGUAAUACAGUUGAAUAUUUUUUCCAACACAACCAGAGUUUCAACGUUUCCAAAUCAAAAUGUCACACCAGUCAUUUCAACGGAAGACUGCAACAAUCCGACCAUACAAACAACGAAUCUAAAGAGUCCUGUUAUCGAGUUUAGAAAAAAUAAUGGAUGGGAAAUCCGUGUGAACAACAAUUUAACCUACACUGACAUUGUACAGGAAGUGACAACCACAACAGAUUGCAUAACGACGAAAAGCGAGGGGUACACAAUUCCAGUCACAUGUGCAGGUUCUAAGCAGUCUCUGCUCUUAGUAAUCGUUUCGAGAAUUGAAGACCCUGGAGCAUUUUUCUGCAACGAGAAAUGUGAAGCCAUGCCUUAUUUAACCGUGAAUGUAGCAGAGGACAAGCCACUGUCUCAAUCAAUACGGCUGUGUAUGAAGAAUAUUUACACAGAUCCAAAAUUCGAUUACAAGAUUAUCAGUAGCAGCUUCAAGCUUGUAACUACUCAGAACCCCAACAUCAUUUCAUUACGAAACAAUACAUCACUUGACUAUGACAACAAUCCAGACUAUAAUUUUCAAAUAACAGCUGAAGGGUAUAGUUCCACACAUUUAAACGUUACCGUUAAGGUAACUGAUGUAGAUGAUCUUGGAGUAGAAUUCAACCAAACUGUGUAUCAGUGCUCCAUGACUGAGAACAAAUUGAAUGAAACCUGUAAAGUCACAGCCCAUGAUAUGGACAAGGGCAUUAACGCACUGAUUCGUUAUAGCAUACAAUCAGUGUGGCCGACAUGGAAUUCUUUUAGCAUUUCUACCGAUGGAACAAUCACUACUUCUAAAACGUUGGACCGAGAAAAUCAGUCAUCGUAUACACUAAGUAUUGCUGGAUAUCAAGCAAACAGGCCACUGGAUCGUGUUAACUUCACCACUGUUGUAAUAAACGUUGUUGAUGUAGAUGACAAUCCUCCUAUUAUGAAAAAUGCAAGUAUCAACGUAAAUCUGCAAGAAAACGCACCAAUGGACACUUUUGUCAUACAAGUGUUUGCUACCGAUGCAGACGAGGGAUUAAAUGCGAACUUUACUUUUAAUUUUUCCAAUAAAUCCGAAGCUUCAAAUUUCACAAUUGAGAGCUCGACAGGGAUUUUGAGAGUUGGUCGGUCCCCACCUGACAGAGAGACAUUACAGAAACAAAACUACAUCAUAUCCCUGAAGGUGUUCGCAAAAUCAGUCAUGAAUGAGUCGCAGGCUAGCAACGAAACGACAAUCGUAAUAAAAAUUCUGGAUGUUAAUGACAAUUCGCCACAAUUCCACGGAACCCAGAUAUUUAAUAUUAGCAAAACGCAGACAUUGGAAACAUGUAUCACAAAGCUAAAUGUUACGGACGCCGAUGAUGGGCUCAAUGGAAAUUUUACCGUGUCUAUGAAGGAUACGUCGACGUUUAACGUCACUUCAGACGGAGAGCUGUGGCUGGUGCACAGUCUGAACAAGACGUGUCAGAAGACGUACGUCCUCACCGUCACAGCCACUGACCUUGCACAGCCUCCCAGUGAUAGAACCACCACCAUCGACGUCACGGUUAACGUGAAAGACGUGAACAUCCACACCCCAAAAUUAACAAUCACUCGACAUUUUAACAUUUCCGAAGACGCGCCUGUAGGCACCGUGGUCGCAGACUCCAUGGCAACAGAUGCUGAUCCGGAUGACCACCUAGUGUGUUAUCUUAACACAUUUUCUGAUACGUUCGAGAUUCUCAAUUAUACUGAGGUCGACAUGCAUCUAGCACAGGAUUGUGUAACUGUUAAUGCUAGAAUAACGACGAAGAAGAUGCUUAACAGGGAGGAGACAAGCAACUACACACUAACAUUGGUCUGCAAUGAUACAGUACACAAUACAAACAAAUCGUUUACCAUUAAUCUUCUGGACGUCAAUGACAACGAACCGCAGUUUGAAAAUGGUCCAUACAAUUUCUCCGUCGAUGAGAAUAAUAAGUCGGCAUUAGUUGGGAAAAUAAAGGCUACCGACGCAGACAAAGAGGACAAUGGGAGACUGUCAUUCUGGAUAGACAAAGAUUGUUUAUGGGCUAAAAACAUCACCAUAAACAACUCUACGGGUGAAAUACAUACUAUUGACGUCCUUGAUCGUGAGGUAGCGGACCAGCUGCCGUUCACGGUGUUUGUUUCGGACAAUGGCCAGCCAAGCCUUAUGAGCGAAACUCGGGUCACAGUCCACGUACUGGACGUGGACGACAAUCCGCCUGUAUUUGUCACCCGUUCUCAAAAAGUUAAUAUCUCAGAAAAUACGGCAAAACAAUAUUUACACAAUAUUUCCCAAGUCAAGGCGACUGAUGCGGACACUGAAGCAAAUAGGGACAUUUCAUAUUUCUUUUUCCCAAAUACCACUAGUAUGGACAUAUUCAAUGCGACUCUUAUGAUCGACCAAAAAAGUGGAGUUAUUUCUUUGUCACAAUCACCAAAGCUUGACAAAAUGUGCGUGACAAAUGUUUCCAUCCAACUUGCUGCAUACGGAAGAAACACAACGAUGCAUGAUAACAUGACACUCAUUUUAUAUGUAAUUGAUGUGAAUGACCAUCCCCCUUUAUUUCCUCAAGAUCUAGAAAUUGUUAAACAGCAAGAAGAAGGUGUUCCAGACAAAACAUUUGUUUUUUCGUCUAACAACAGCGAAAUACAAUACCAACUCGCCAGUGAUGACGACUGUGAUAAAGCCUAUAAAACACUUCACUACUGGAUGGACAAUACUGAUGAUCGGUUCCAAAUCAAUUCCUCUAACGGCUUUAUAUCGUUGCGACAAAACAGAAUGCUAGACUACGACCCGCCAGUUAAUGACAGGAAUUUAAACUUCACUAUAUUUGUGACUGACGGGGUGUACGUGAGCAGCAAGACCGUUAGCAUGACAGUCAUCAAUGCCAUAGACUCCCAACCAAAAUUUUCCCAAGAUGUAUAUCGGUGUGAAGUGGAUGAAAAUUUCAAGGGGGAAACUGAAUGCAGUGUGACAAUAAAUUAUCCAGAAAAUAAUGACACGAUAGCAAAUAAAUUUUCAUUACAAACGAACAACGAAUCAGUCGAUUUCCGUGGACAAAGUCUAGUGCGACAGUUGAAUAUACUCAAGUCAUUUGACUUCGAACAACAACAAGAAAUAGCUGUAGCUGUUAACGUAACAAAUCAAUUGCUGUCAAAUAUCAUUGUGAGUAACUGUACAGUGAUCAUACGUGUGUUGCCUGUAAAUGACGAGCCUCCAGAGUUCCACAAUAGUACAAACCAAUACGACUUUCGUUUUAAAGAGAGCAGUCAAGCUGAUCUUACCAUAGGCUUCAUCAAUGUCACCGAUAAGGACAGCCCAUUUACUAUGGAAUUAAAAUGCAACGGAUCAGCUCAGUAUUUUGACGUCCGGGCCAACGGUGAUGUAUUCACUACAUAUGUGUUUGACUACGAAAACGAAACAGAUGCACACAGCUUUGUUUGCAUAAUAACAGCAAAUGAUACCGUUCAUAGUGAGAACAGAAGUGUCACUAUUAUGGUGGAAAACAUAAAUGACAACUAUCCUCAGUUCGGAGAAUCGCGUUACACCCUUCCUAUCAACGAAACGCAUGAGAAGGGAAAAUACAUAUUACAAAUCAGCGCUUCUGACAAAGACGUUGAUGAUACAAUUUCAUACAAUAUUGCGGGCGGGAAUUCCAGUGGCCUUGUUCUUAAUAAGACAACGGGCGACCUAAGCUCCAAUGCCAAUUUCAGUGGACCGGUGAAGUUGAAUUUCGUUGUGGAAGCAUGCGACAAUGGCGCUCCACAACUGUGCAACUACACUGACGUGGCUAUUGAUGUGCUGAAUGUUAACAACCACUCACCAGUGUUCUCAAAACGACAUCCGGUUGUGCAAAUAUAUGAAAACACCCAAGUUUUCGUUGCCCAGUUGGAGGCCACGGAUAUUGACGGUGACAAGCUCAAUUACACCAUAGAAAAUGGCACUUUGGGAUUUUAUAUGAACGGAUCUUCUCUGUAUGCGAAUAAUAUCAAUGCAGAAGAUUACAGGGCAUCCAGUGGAACAUGUGAGCUGUCCAUUAUCGUGUCAGAUGGCCUGUUCACUGACUCCACGCUGCUUAAUAUUACGAUACUUGAUAUCAACGAAUCUCCACCAAGAUUCGUCAGUAUACAGAACAAUACAGAAAUUAUUAAUGAAACAUUAUCUAUUGGCAGCCAUGUUUUAGACAUAAAGGCAACCGACGAGGAUUUGAGUAAUACGGGAUUCGUUUUUGUUUUGUAUAACAGUGAAGGUAUUUUUUCAAUAAAUGAUACGACCGGUGAGAUAACGCUUGCCAAGUCAGUUCAGCACGCGGUAGGCUAUUACAACAUCACUGUAGUAGUACAUGACAAUGGGCAUCCCUCGAAGUCAAACAGCACGAAGGUGACUGUGAUCGUGAAAGACGUUAACGAAUCGCCCUCCGUGAAUCUUUAUCCAUCUACUGUCUUCCUGUCAUCCGAUUCGCCGAAUGGCAAACAUGUUGCCACCAUAAACGCUUCCGACCCAGAUUCGGUUGACAUAUUCAAAAUAUUGAACUUGACCAUAAGUGUCAACUCAACUAAAACUGAACAGUCGAUGUUUGUCAAACAGAAUAUGACCAUUUGCACCGAUAAGAAACCUCUAUUACCUGGAAACCAUUCUUUGAAUUUGACCGUGAUGGACGGAGGAGGACUUACUGCAUGGACUAAUAUGCAUGUUGUGGUGUACGACACGAAGUAUUAUAACGAAGACAUUCCCGUAAACGAAAAUGAUAAAUUAAACUCUAGUCUUGUCAACGCAUCGUCGGCCUUGGAGUCGCGGUUUAGCAUAGAGCCAUCCGUGGACAUGGGGAAAUUCAUUAUUAUCAAUAAUACCCUUGUGAUGACGGAUUCAUUUGACCGAGAAGAAACAGAGAAUGUGACGUUGAUACUUCAUGGAUUUGAUGUCCACGACAUUCUGGUUUCAAUAAUUACAAUACAAAUCAAAGUCCUCGACAUUAACGACUGUGUGCCGGAACUGGAUGAAAGAUACGAAUUCUCAAUCAAUGACGAUACAGAAAAUAAUACAGUAGUGACACAGAUUAUUGCUCGAGAUAGAGACGUCAUGCCUCAAAAUAGGAACGUAUCAUACAGUUUACGUGGCCCUGGAAAUGACACUUUCAGCAUGUCAGCGGAUGGCAGUUUGCGGGUAGAAAGUCUCCAACUGUAUGGUUUCAAUGAAUAUCAUCUAACCCUCGAGGCAACCGAUGGUCUCCAUAAGAAAACGGCAAAACUCAACAUCACGGUUGUUGAUACAAACGACCAUUCGCCCAUAUUCACCGACAAUUGUUUCGGACCGUUUGAAAUAUCUGAAAAUGUAACCGCUGGCACGACUGUAGGAAAAUUACUUACAUCAGAUUUAGACGUUGGUCGAAAUGGAAAUGUGACCUUUUCCAUAAACGCGGGGAACGAGAACCAGACAUUCAGUAUUGAGACACGCAACAUGACUGGUAUCAUAAAGACAAACAGAUCACUGGACAGGGAGACUCGUCCCGGCUAUGUAUUAACCAUCGUUGCAACUGAUCAUGCCCCACUAAAUCCAAGAAUGGCCGUGUGCUCGGUGGUUAUAACAGUUCUGGAUGUGAAUGAUAACGCCCCAACAUUCAUGAAUCCUGACGGAUACAAAGGAUCCAUCGCAGAAAAUGCCAGUUUAACAACAAUUGUAGAAAUGCACGGAGCUUUGAUUGCCACGGACCCCGACGAAGAUUGGAGUGGGACUGAUGGAAUCGUAUACAUAAUUGAUGAAAACAAUGUGUUUUUAAUCAAUCCAACCAAUGGAACGAUUUCAUUGAACGGCUCAUUGGACAGAGAAAAACAUUCACAAAUUAAUUUAACGGUAACGGCAGCUGACUCAAAUGGGACCAGUAAUUGUAGAGAGGCGAACACAACCGUUGUCAUUGAUGUAAUCGACGUCAACGACAACGCACCUUCUUUUAACCAGAAAAACUAUACUUUCAACGUAACUGAAAAUGCAAAUUCAUCUGUGGUUGUGGGUGUAGUAAAUGCAAGUGACAUCGAUGGGCCUGGAAAUAACAACAUACGGUACAGCAUUGUCAGCGGAGAUUUCGGACGAUUCUACAUUGACAGCUUGCUAGGAACACUGUACGCCGCUGGAAAUAUUGACAGGGAAGACAAGGCGUUAUUCCAAUUAAAUGUUUCGGCAUCUGACGGAACAUUUUCUAAUUGUACGUCCGUAACGAUCUAUGUGAAUGACGUAAAUGACAAUGCCCCUAUGUUUGAGAACGUUUCUGAUGCCCAACGUAUCUACAUCAGCAUCAAUGAGAAUACGACUACACCGGUGAAUAUAUACCAGGUCCGAGCAACAGACCAUGAUGAUUCAAACACAUCUAAUAGUCAAGUUCAAUAUGAAUUGGUGAAUAACACGGCCAGCAACAUAACAAUUAACGAAACAACUGGAGAAAUAACCAUAAAUGGCCCCGUUGACAGGGAAAAACAAGAUGCGUACACGUUGUAUGUGAAGGCCAGCGACCGCGGUCUUCCUGUGUUGUCCAGCAUUCUAAUCGUUGAAAUACAGAUUCUCGACAUAAAUGAUAACGCUCCUAUAUUUUACAAUAGCAACGGUGAGACAAUUUCAUCAGUCAAUGCCAGUAUCAUCGAGGAGUCACCAGUCGGAUCUGUCAUUGCGCUAAUCAAUGCAACGGAUUCGGACGCUGGCAAAAACGGCCUAGUCGACUACUCAUUCAACUCGUCUUCUGUUUCCAACUUAUUUAAAAUAAACAAAAACGGUAUCGUGCAAUUGAAGGAACCGAUGAUUAUCAACAGCCUUUAUCAACGAAAAAUAAUUGAUACAAAUGAUACAAACAACGUGGUUCUCAUGAUGACCAUCAUCGCCUUUGAUUAUGGGACCCCGAACAAGAGUUCGCAGUUAAACUUUUUCGUACACAUCGAGCCUAUCAAUGACAACGCACCGGUGUUUCCCCAGUUCCUGUUCCACUAUGUAGUAAAUGAAAAUAGUAAUACAGGUACUUUCGUUGGCCAAUGUGAAGCUUCUAUCAGAAAUGAAUCCAUCAGUCACAUGACUUACAGUUUGAUGGAGAAUUUUGAUUCAUUUGCAAUCGAUAAUAAUCAUGGCAAUAUUACAACAACCCGUUUAUUGGACAGGGAAUCCCAAGACAUGUAUAUGCUCACAGUGCGGGUAACCGACGGUAGAAUCCCGGAGAGAACAGCAUUUGCUGCCGUUAACGUGACAAUUCAGGAUGUGAACGAUAAUAUACCGCAGUUUAACCAGACGAUAACGGAAAUAACAGUGCUCGAAGAAACAAUUAUUUCUCGCAACAUCAGCGUCGGUGCAUUCGACAGGGAUCUCGGAAAUAAUGCAACCCUUUCAUAUUAUCUGGAAGAAAAUAACGAUACAAGAUUCGCUGUUGAAAACACAUCUGGUAUGCUAUUUCUGAAUGGCACAUUCGACUACGAGCAACAGACAGCGUACAAUUUAACAGUUGUAGUACAAGACAAUGGUAAUCCACGAUUCAACAAUUCGAUGACUAUAGUGCUACUCAUUUCGGAUGUCAACGACAACAAUCCCAUAUUUACCUAUCAAUCAGCAAAUUGUUCACUGAUGGAGAAUGUGACGAUCGGAACAAAAGUCAUAUCCGUGAACGCAAAUGAUUCUGAUUCUGGAUGGAACGGACAGGUCGUCUACCGAAUAAUUGAUGACAAUAAUUGUCCUUUUUCAAUCAAUUUCUUGACGGGUGAGAUCCAAACCGAUGGUCCGCUUGAUUAUGAGAGACAAAAUAUCUGCACCCUAAUAAUAAUGGCCAGUGACCUUGGGACCCCACCUUUGACCGCAAACAUGACCUCGACCGUCAAUAUUCUGGACAUAUACGAUGUCAUCCCUCGGUUUGAACGCCCCUUCUACCAGGUGACACUAAACUCAAGCAACACCAAUGGAACACACUUGGUAACAGUGAACUCAACAGGCUCGGGAUUACACUAUUCACUUAAAGAUGACUUCGAUAGACUGUAUCAAAUCGCUGACGAUGGCAUGUUGUCUCUGGCUAAGGACAUUUCAGAGGCCUCCGUGUAUCGGUCGCCUUUUGUUGUGGCUGUCUCAGUAACCGACCAACUGAAUACGUCAGCAUCUUGCUUGGUAAUUGUUCGCAUUGUAAAAGAACAGCUGGCUGUGGUUGCUGGUUCAGUCAUCACUAGCGAUGUCUCGGAGGCCACUGCUAUCGGUGGACUCAUCACAGACAUCGAUACUACCGCGGAGAUCGCUGGAGAAAAUGUGCAAUACUCAAUCAUAAACGUGGAACCAAAAGAUGCGACCGGUAUGUUCAACAUAACACGCAGCGAUGGGAAGGUCUAUUUCUAUCGUGGGUUGGACCGAGAAACACAUGACCAGUAUAUCCUCAAAAUAUCAGUUCAACAUGGAGACCAGACACGCACGCGCCGAUCAAUUCUAGAUUCAGGGUCAAUAUUAAAACUGGUUAUCAACAUUCUCGAUGAAAAAGACAACACACCCGAGUUCGUGGACGUACCGCAAUCAAUUGAGAUACCAUUAGACAUGGGUGCAAACCAGGCUGUUACAACAGUAAAGGCAAUCGAUCGAGACAUAAAGGCUGACACAGAAAUUACUUACUCCAUAAGCGGGGGUGAUAAUGACACGUUUAGCAUUAAUAACGUGUCUGGUGUCAUAGAGACACGCGUCCCAAUUGCCAUGCGCAACAGUAAUACUUUCCGUCUCACAGUAUUGGCUAGAAAUGGGCCAUACGAAAAUGACUCUGCACAAGUAAACGUCAGCAUUCAAGUAAAACCAACCGAUCAAGUCGUGGUGUUAACUGUUCAGCAGAACGUCAGUAGCGUUGCAAAAAACGUAGAAUCUAUUCUUUGGAAUAUGUCCAGUGUUUUGCCUGAUAUUGAAGUGAAACUUCAAAGACUCCAGCAGCACAUAGAGACAUUAGAACCGCCGCUGAACUCAAAUAAAACUGAAGCAGCACGGUCUGAUCUGUUUAUUUACGGUGUGAACAAAACUAGCCGGGAAAUAGUGUCCAGAGAACAAAUGGUUUCGAUCAUUCAAAGCCACAUUAAAGAACUUACAGAACAAAAACCGGUGUCCCUUAAGCGAUACGAUCCAUCAGCCAUCAACAAUUCUCAGUUAGUCAUCAUCGCCUUCGCCAUUGCGAUAUUCUUUGGAGCACUUAUUGCGAUCGUGUUCGCUCUCUUUGGUUGGUCAAGAUACGAGGAAGAAGUCCUUAAGCUCGAGCAAUUCCGCGAGCACCAUGAUCACGAGGAUUAUGAGUUGAGCACUCUUGGCAGCCGACAGGCCAGCCAGCUGUCGUCUGCACUCGCGGCGGCAUCGGCAGUUAACACUGCGUACGCAGAAACAAUGCUGUCGGACAGUUUCAGCCAGGUGUCUCCUAAGAAGAAAAAAGAAACAGUUUAUGAAACACAAGAGGUCACGAUGGAAUUCCGCGAUGAGCAUCUUGAUAGUCCGCCUUCUCUUCUCGGAGAUUCCGCGCGAAGCAUAGUGGACAGCGGCGUGGGAACCACGUCUGUAGAAUUGGACGCCAUCCCUGCACAGUCUGCGGUAAUCGAUCGUGAAACACCUGGGGCAUUGGAUGGUACGGUCACGGGUAUGGAUGAAACAGAUGACGGCAUAACCGGCACCUUUCUUACACAGGAAGAUGUGAGCCAUACAGUAGCUGACGUUAAGAAGAAUGGCCCUGUAAUGACGUCAAGUCCAAGAGCAAGUAGACCGCUAGAGUUUAAAGAUACAGGCUUUGCGUUCCGGAACGGGCAAGAUUUGGAAAACAGUCGGGAUGAAAAAGCAGAGUCAAAAGAUGAUUCAAUAAUGGAAAAAAAAACGGUCAGGAUCGCUGAAGACAAGGCGAAGUACGAAAGAAGGCGGCAAGUUUGUAUCUUUUGCAGAUAUCGGCGAAACUGCAACAGAUGACGAAUUCGAUAACGAUGAAGAAACCGUUGGAGAACCUGUGAGCGAGAAAGAAACUGAAAAGUCGCUUCGAGCAGAUAAUACCAAUAAUGCCCGAGAAGAAGAUAACGAGCAACCGAAGGAAGAUUCUGCGGCUCAAUCUUCCAAUAUAAAUCAAAGUUCCCACUUUUUACAAGGGAAUGCAGAAGCUCUGGCUCCGACCACAGGAGUCGACGUUGAACAAAAUAGCGAACGUCGACAACAUGAAAAUGCCACUGGGAUUCAUGCAAGGUUCAAUAAUAUUCAAUCGACGUCAGAAGAUAUCGUUGACGAUGAUGACGACGCUGAUUAUAAAAUGACUUCUUUGUAAGUUGCUCUCGUCGGAUUCUUCCAGAACUUCUAGAUACUCAGAAAAUUGACUUUAUUCUAAAUAUUUUCAUAAAACGAAUAUUAAUUCCUGAAUUACAGUACUAUAUUUAAUUCGAAAAUGAUUCAAUGCCUUGUCAUGUGAAUGUGAUUGUUUUGGUUUCCUGAUUCGCGUAAGGAGUAAAAUCAUUAUAAAUGAGGUUCUUAUUUCAUGAAUAAGCUUCACAUAUUUAGCCUAAUUGAAUGAUUGUUCAUUAUCAUUUUAAAUUAAAAUGACGUAUACACGAAUAUAUAUAUAACAAUG